CCCUCAAGAUGAGAUUUCCCAACUUCGGUUAUAAGAUCCCUCAAAGAUGAUGAGGUUAAUAGGUUCGAGGUGGAAGCAUGGUGACAUGUGGAGCUGACGAAUACUAAUCGAUCGAAGACUUAAUCAA
rnacentral:rRNA from 1 species